rnacentral:rRNA from 1 species
UCGACCUGAGCUCAGGCAAGACUACCCGCUGAACUUAAGCAUAUCAAUAAGCGGAGAAAAG